rnacentral:rRNA from 1 species
UACGUAGGGGGCAAGCGUUGUCCGGAUUUAUUGGGCGUAAAGAGCGUGUAGGCGGCCUGAAAGGUCAGCUGUGAAAACUCGAGGCUCAACCCUCGAGACGUCGUAGUAAACCAUCUGGCUAGAGUCCGGAAGAGGAGUGUGGAAUUCCCGGUGUAGCGGUGAAAUGCGCAGAUAUCGGGAAGAACACCCGUGGCGAAGGCGGCACUCUGGGACGGUACUGACGCUGAGACGCGAAAGCGUGGGGAGCGAACAGG